rnacentral:rRNA from 1 species
CCCUUAGAUGUUCUGGGCUGCACGCGCGCUACACUGAAGCGUUCAACGAGUAUUCACCUUGCCCGGGAGGGUUGGGUAAUCUUUUGAAAACGCUUCGUGAUGGGGAUAGAUUAUUGCAAUUAUUAAUCUUCAACGAGGAAUUCCUAGUAAGCGCGAGUCAUCAGCUCGUGCUGAUUACGUCCCUGCCCUUUGUACACACCGCCCGCCGCUCCUACCGAUUGAGUGAUCCGGUGAAUAAUUCGGACUGCAGCACUGCUUGGUCUCCAGGCUUUGCAGCGGAAAGUCUAGUGAACCUUAUCACUUAGAGGAAGGAGAAGUCGUAACA